rnacentral:rRNA from 1 species
UACGGGGGGGGCAAGCGUUGUUCGGAAUUACUGGGCGUAAAGGGCUCGUAGGCGGCCAACUAAGUCGGAUGUGAAAUCCCCAGGCUUAACUUGGGAACUGCAUCCGAUACUGGAUGGCUUGAAUCCGGGAGAGGGAUGCGGAAUUCCAGGUGUAGCGGCGAAAUGCGUAGAUAUCUGGAGGAACACCGGUGGCGAAGGCGGCAUCCUGGACCGGCAUUGACGCUGAUGAGCGAAAGCCAGGGGAGCGAACGGG